rnacentral:rRNA from 1 species
GACGAACGCUGGCGGCGUGCUUAACACAUGCAAGUCGAACGAAGUGGCGAACGGGUGAGUAACGCGUAAUCAACCUGCCCUUCAGAGGGGGACAACGGUUGGAAACUACUGCUAAUAACGCAUACUGCAGGAGAGGAUUUCGUCGGAUUAGCUAGCUGGAGUGGUAACGGCCAACCAAGGCGAUGAUCAGUAGCCGGUGUUAGAUGAUGAACGGCCACAUUGGAACGGAGACACGGCCCAGACUCCGACGGGAGGCAGCAGUGGUGAAUCUUCCGGAAUGGAAGAAAGUCUGACGGAGCAACUCCGCGUGAGUGAUGACGGCCUUCGGGUUGUAAAGCUCUGUUAAGCGGGACGCGGUACCGGAAUAGAAAGCCACGGCUAACUACGUGCCAGCAGCCGCGGGAAUAC